GACGUAGGUGGCGAACGUUAUCCGGAAUUACUGGGCGUAAAGCGCACGUAGGCGGCUCUUUAAGUCGGGGGUGAAAUCCUGGAGCUCAACUCCAGAACUGCCUUCGAUACUGUAGAGCUUGAGUUCGGGAGAGGUGAGUGGAACUGCGAGUGUAGAGGUGAAAUUCGUAGAUAUUCGCAAGAACACCAGUGGCGAAGGCGGCUCACUGGCCCGAUACUGACGCUGAGGCACGAAAGCGUGGGGAGCAAACAGG
rnacentral:rRNA from 1 species